AGCUCCCCGAGUGGUAGGGACGAUUAUUGGGCUUAAAGCGUCCGUAGCUGGCUUGACAAGUCUUUCGUUAAAUCCAGCGACCUAAUCGUUGGGCUGCGGGAGAUACUAUCUAGCUUGGGGGCGGAAGAGGUCGACGGUACUCUCGGGGUAGGGGUGAAAUCCUAUAAUCCUGAGAAGACCACCAGUGGCGAAGGCGGUCGGCUAGAACGCGCUCGACGGUGAUGGACGAAAGCUGGGGUAGCAAACCGGAUUAGAUACCCGAGUAGUCC
rnacentral:rRNA from 1 species